rfam:Rhizobium sp. YS-1r CONTIG.304, whole genome shotgun sequence.
GCUUUAUCCCGUGGUGAUUUGGCCGGUCGGCUUGCAGCCACGUUAAAUAAGUGGCUAAAAAGACCGGGUGCCAAACCGG